rnacentral:rRNA from 1 species
ACGUAGGGCGCAAGCGUUGUCCGGAAUUAUUGGGCGUAAAGAGCUCGUAGGCGGCUUGUCACGUCGGGUGUGAAAGACCGGGGCUUAACCCCGGUUCUGCAUUCGAUACGGGCUAGCUAGAGUGUGGUAGGGGAGAUCGGAAUUCCUGGUGUAACGGUGAAAUGCGCAGAUAUCAGGAGGAACACCGGUGGCGAAGGCGGUUUCCUGGGCUGACACUGACGCUGAGGCGCGAAAGCGUGGGUAGCAAACG